rnacentral:lncRNA from 1 species
CUGGCAGAGGUGGUUGGGGCUAUGUGCCUGGAGUGAAGAUUCUGCCCAUUGGUCAAGAGACCUCCCUCUCAGAUGCUGGCUCUGCCCCUGCCUUUGGGGGUCGACCCUUGUACUCGCAGGACCUUAGGUGACUCUGACUUUGUCAAAGGAAAAAUUUCUGCAUGUGCACACACAGAUCUUGGAAGUUUAUUCAUCUCAGCAGAGGCAGACAGGAGCAUCAACAGCCUUGGGGACAGCAGCAGUGGUGGUAGGGCAAAAUAAAACUUAUAUGAAACUGUAAUCACUAAUGUGUGAAAAUGGAAGAUUCAGGAAGUGUUUCAUAUCUGAAAUAUGAACCCAACGUGGAAUCAACAUGCAUCCAAACAGGACUAAAUGUGCAAACCCAAGGCAAGAUUAAAACUAUAAAUAUUUAGCAAUUUGGCAAAUUGGUCAUUUUGGAGACUAGCUUUUAGCAAAUUCAUCAUAUGUUUAAUUGAUUUCCAGUAAAUUGGCUGCUUCCAUCAAGGCUGCCUUGGGUGACUAUGUCCAAGCAACCAAAUUGCUCUCUUUAAAUGCAAAAAUUAGUAAAGAUUUAUCUCUCUAAAGUAAGUUUGAAAUUCUUGCAAUAUUCAGAUUGACUUGGCAGCUAUCUGAUGGGUUACCUCUUUGUGUCCCCCUGACAUCCUUAAUGUAGACACAUAUGCAUACUAGAAUGUUGAUUCAUUAAUCCACAGAGAAAACUGUAACUACUAAGAAGACUAGAUAUUCAUGCUUGAGAAUGAGUGGUUCUGUUUUUGAUGGCAAACCUCUGACAUACAAUACAUGGUGGCCUAUUCCUACAACAUUCAGAAUAAAGAAUAAGGGAGCUGGGUGCAUUGGUGUGCGCCUGUAAUCCCAGCUACUUGGGAGGUUGAGAUGGGCACAUUGCUUGCUCCCAGGAGUUCGAGUCCAGCCUGGG